rnacentral:rRNA from 1 species
AUUGAACGCUGGCGGCAUGCUUUACACAUGCAAGUCGAACGGCAGCACGGGGGCAACCCUGGUGGCGAGUGGCGAACGGGUGAGUAAUAUAUCGGAACGUACCCGGAAAUGGGGGAUAACGUAGCGAAAGUUACGCUAAUACCGCAUAUGCCCUAAGGGGGAAAGCGGGGGAUUCGCAAGAACCUCGCGUUUUCGGAGCGGCCGAUAUCGGAUUAGCUAGUAGGUGAGGUAAAGGCUCACCUAGGCGACGAUCCGUAGCUGGUCUGAGAGGACGACCAGCCACACUGGAACUGAGACACGGUCCAGACUCCUACGGGAGGCAGCAGUGGGGAAUUUUGGGACAAUGGGCGCAAGCCUGAUCCAGCCAUGCCGCGUGAGUGAAGAAGGCCUUCGGGUUGUAAAGGCUCUUUCAGCCGGAAGAAACGACACGGGUUAAUAACCUAGUGUGGAUGACGGUACCGGAAGAAGAAGCACGGCUACUACGUGCCAGCAGCCGCGGUAA